GGCCAACUCAACUCAACUCAACCC
rnacentral:siRNA from 1 species